rnacentral:SRP_RNA from 1 species
GAUGGCACGGUGGUGCGUGCCUGUAGUCCCAGCUACUCAGGAGGCUGAGGUGGGAGGAUCACUUGAGCCCAGGCGUUCUGGGCUGUAGUGCGCUAUGCUGAUCGGGUGUCCGCACUAAGUUCAGCAUCAAUAUGGUGACCUCCUGGGAGCGGGGGACCAUCAGGUUGCCUAAGGAGACGUGAACUGGCCCAGGUUGGAAACGAAGCAGGUCAAAACUCCCGUGCUGAUCAGUAGUGGGAUCACACCUGUGAAUAGCCACUGCACUCCAGCCUGGGCAACACAGCGAGACCCCGUCUCU